rnacentral:rRNA from 1 species
CCUACGGGAGGCAGCAGUGAGGAAUAUUGGUCAAUGGGCGGAAGCCUGAACCAGCCAAGUAGCGUGCGGGAUGAAGGCCCUCCGGGUCGUAAACCGCUUUUGCACGGGGAUAACACCCUCCUCUUGUGGAGGUCUGCCGGUACCGUGCGAAUAAGGGCCGGCUAAUUCCGUGCCAGCAGCCGCGGUACUACGGAAGGCCCGAGCGUUAUCCGGAUUCAUUGGGCUUAAAGGGAGCGUAGGCGGGCGUUCAAGUCAGCUGUAAAAUUUCGGGGCUCAACCCCGUCGUGCCGUUGAAACUGACGCGCUUGAGUGAGUGAGAAGUAAGCGGAAUGCGUGGUGUAGCGGUGAAAUGCAGAGAUAUCACGCAGAACGCCGAUUGCGAAGGCAGCUUACCGGCGCUCAACUGACGCUGAGGCACGAAAGUGCGGGUAUCGAACAGGAUUAGAUACCCCUGUAGUC